rnacentral:lncRNA from 1 species
AUCAAAAGCAUCCACUGACACUGCUGGACAGCUGCCUAAGGCUUCUUCAGUUCCCUUUUUGAAAGAUUGUGCUUGUAAGAUUCACUAAUAAAGAUUUCCCAUGAAGUGAUAUCACUCUGCAAGCUUCCAGCUGUAAAAAGGGUACAUCAUCUGCUUUCAGUUCUCGAUGUCGGGUCUCUGCUCUGCCUACACAGAACAUGCUGAACUGUGCAGGAAUGGGAUGGCAUGAGAUGGAGCUGAGAGGAAGUUCCCUUCUUUGCAAAAAGUCGGCACAAGCUCCGUGCCCCACUCUUACGUCUGUGAAUACAUUGGUCUGCRUGUGCAAUGACAGAGUGCCAGAGCAGGUGGAUCAGGAAGCAGCAGAGCAGAGGAUAUGUCUGUCACCUGUCAGAAAAAAAGUGUGUGGAACCUCAGAACUGACAAACGGCUGGAGACAAGCUGUGCUUAAUGGAGACCAAGUGUUCUGA